UACGACCAUAUCACGUUGAAACACGUGUUCUCAUACGAUCGCCGAGGUUAAGCAAUGUCGAAACUAGUCAGUACCUAGAUGAGUGACCGCUUGGGAAUACCAGGUGCU